rnacentral:rRNA from 1 species
GUAGUAUUUAUUAGAUUGAAACCAACCGCUUCGGCGUGAUGUGGUGAUUCAUAAUAAGCUAGCGGAUCGCAUGGCUUUGCCGGCGAUGGAUCAUUCAAGUUUCUGCCCUAUCAGCUUUGGAUUGGUGGGUAUUGGCCACCGAUGGCUUUAACGGGUAACGGGAAAUUGGGGUUUGAUUCCGGAGAGGGGGCCUGAGAGACGGCCACCACAUCCAAGGAAGGCAGCAGGCGCGUAAAUUACCCAAUCAUGACACAUGGAGGUAGUGACAAUAAAUAACAAUGCCGGGCCUUUGUAGGUCUGGCAAUUGGAAUGAGAACAAUUUAAAAUUCUUAUCGAGGAUCAAUUGGAGGGCAAGUCUGGUGCCAGCAGCCGCGGUAAUUCCAGCUCCAAUAGCGUAUAUUAAAGUUGUUGCAGUUAAAAAGCUCGUAGUUGGAUUUAUGGCGGUUCCCGGGGUCCAAUUUUUGGUACAUUCGGGGACUGCCAUCCUUGGGUGGAACCUGUGUGGAAUUAAGUUUUCGUGCAGGGGAUGCCCAUCGUUUACUGUGAAAAAAUCAGAGUGCUUCAAGCAGGCUUAUG